rnacentral:tRNA from 1 species
UCCAAUUUGGCAGAAUUUAAUGCAAUAAAUUUAGAAUUUAUUUAUGAAAACUUUCAAUUGGAA